AUUCAGUUGACGAGUCUUAAAUAAGACGAAACGUGUGUCCCGAAU
rfam:Schistosoma margrebowiei strain Zambia genome assembly, scaffold: SMRZ_scaffold0000074